UUCCAGGUAAAUCCGGUUCACUUUAACACUGAGGCGUGAUGACGAGGCACUACGGUGCUGAAGCAACAAAUGCCCUGCUUCCAGGAAAAGCCUCUAAGCAUCAGGUAACAUCAAAUCGUACCCCAAACCGACACAGGUGGUCAGGUAGAGAAUACCAAGGCGCUUGAGAGAACUCGGGUGAAGGAACUAGGCAAAAUGGUGCCGUAACUUCGGGAGAAGGCACGCUGACACGUAGGUGAAGUGAUUUACUCAUGGAGCUGAAGUCAGUCGAAGAUACCAGCUGGCUGCAACUGUUUAUUAAAAACACAGCACUGUGCAAACACGAAAGUGGACGUAUACGGUGUGACGCCUGCCCGGUGCCGGAAGGUUAAUUGAUGGGGUCAGCGCAAGCGAAGCUCCUGAUCGAAGCCCCGGUAAACGGCGGCCGUAACUAUAACGGUCCUAAGGUAGCGAAAUUCCUUGUCGGGUAAGUUCCGACCUGCACGAAUGGCGUAAUGAUGGCCAGGCUGUCUCCACCCGAGACUCAGUGAAAUUGAACUCGCUGUGAAGAUGCAGUGUACCCGCGGCAAGACGGAAAGACCCCGUGAACCUUUACUAUAGCUUGACACUGAACAUUGAGCCUUGAUGUGUAGGAUAGGUGGGAGGCUUUGAAGUGUGGACGCCAGUCUGCAUGGAGCCGGCCUUGAAAUACCACCCUUUAAUGUUUGAUGUUCUAACGUGGACCCGUGAUCCGGGUUGCGGACAGUGUCUGGUGGGUAGUUUGACUGGGGCGGUCUCCUCCUAAAGAGUAACGGAGGAGCACGAAGGUUGGCUAAUCCUGGUCGGACAUCAGGAGGUUAGUGCAAUGGCAUAAGCCAGCUUGACUGCGAGCGUGACGGCGCGAGCAGGUGCGAAAGCAGGUCAUAGUGAUCCGGUGGUUCUGAAUGGAAGGGCCAUCGCUCAACGGAUAAAAGGUACUCCGGGGAUAACAGGCUGAUACCGCCCAAGAGUUCAUAUCGACGGCGGUGUUUGGCACCUCGAUGUCGGCUCAUCACAUCCUGGGGCUGAAGUAGGUCCCAAGGGUAUGGCUGUUCGCCAUUUAAAGUGGUACGCGAGCUGGGUUUAGAACGUCGUGAGACAGUUCGGUCCCUAUCUGCCGUGGGCGCUGGAGAACUGAGGGGGGCUGCUCCUAGUACGAGAGGACCGGAGUGGACGCAUCACUGGUGUUCGGGUUGUCAUGCCAAUGGCACUGCCCGGUAGCUAAAUGCGGAAGAGAUAAGUGCUGAAAGCAUCUAAGCACGAAACUUGCCCCGAGAUGAGUUCUCCCUGAGACUUUAGGUCUCCUGAAGGAACGUUGAAGACGACGACGUUGAUAGGCCGGGUGUGUAAGCGCAGCGAUGCGUUGAGCUAACCGGUACUAAUGAACCGUGAGGCUUAACCUUACA
rnacentral:rRNA from 1 species